AAUCAAUUCAAAUUUAUAGGAAAAAACUAGACAUCAAAGGUUUGAUAGAUCCUUUUACUUGUAUCCAUUUGUGUUCUAAACCCUUUUACUCUAUACUUUAUCAACUGGACCCUUAAAAUUAUUAAAAUACAACAUUUGAAACCCCUAUGAUCAUUCACCAAAUCUAUGUGGCAUAAUAUUAUUGAGUUGGAAAGAUGUGUGAGUACACUCACUUUCAAGCCCGUAAAAACCUAUAUGUUAUUUAAAAAUAUUAUUCUUUAUCAAAAAAACUUAUUUCUUUAUUAACCACCCCCAUCCUACCCACCCAAUUUCUCUCAUCAUGGAACACUCUUCCCAUCCGUAACCCUAAACUUUCUUCUCUUCUUCUUCAACAAAAUCACCACGAUACAUAUUCUUUUCUUUUGUUCAAAAUCACCCGUCAUAUACUUUCUUUUUGUUCUUCAAGCAACUCUCAUCUUUGCAACAAAUCAAAAUCCCGCCAUUAAUUUCUUUUUUCAUGCCCCAUUUUUUUAAAUUCUUAAUCUUUUUUUAUUUUGAAAGUUGAAAUUAUUGUUUGUGUUAGUUAGAUUCAAAGAAGAGACCAUGAUAUGCACUUAUGUAAAGGAUAAUGGUUGGCAUUGAAGAAGUUGAAAAGUCCAUUAGUAAGUUUGAAGAACAAUAAAUGAGUUUUAUGAAUUUGUGAAAUUAAUUCAAAUUUGUAAUUGGGGCUCGUUGAACUUGUGUUAGUGAAGUUGAAGUUGAAAUUUCAAGUCAAAUAAAGAAGAAUUUCAUCUAUUUGGUAUGAACUUGG
rnacentral:misc_RNA from 1 species